UUGUGCAAGUUCUCUGGAGCUUGUGCAGAGGCAGCAGCUUUUGCCAGAGGGGAACUGGAAUCCCCUGGUUGGGCCUGGGUUCUCCUGAGGUUUUUUUUCUCGAUUAGAGUUUUGGGUUCCUCGCCACCGUUUGCAUACUGUUUUUGCACUAUCUGCCUGACCGGGGGGGCUGCUUUAGAAUCUUAAAGUUUUACUUAAUUAAUAUUGCAUAUAGGAAUUUAUUAUCUGUUAUACUUGACCUGUGCUUCUCUCUCCUUUAUCCUAAAUGUGUGCUCUCACUGAGCGUGUGUGUGUGUGCGUACUUGUCUGUGUACGUACGUGUGUGUGUGUGUGUCUCUGUGUCUGUGUGUGUUGGUGCGUGUUGUGUGUGUGGAGUGUUUUGUGUGUGGGUGUGUCUGUGUUUUCAACCUUUUCUUGUUUUUGCAGGUACAACGUUGAUUGUUUUGCUUGUAGUCAAUGUGUCUCAUGUACAGCUGCUUUGUAACAAUGAAAAUUGUAAAAGCGCUAUAUAAAUAAAGUUGAGUUGAGUUGAGAUUGCCUAGAACUCGGGCCCGGGGUUCUCACGUUAUCCUGAGACCCCGUCCCGGUUACGUGCCCAAAGUUCCCACCACUCUCCCGAGAGACCAGGUGGUGAACCCCAUCCGUGUUGUGUCCAGUACGCGCACUGCGCCUCUACUUGGACAGCACGCAGAAGCUUCAGAAGCUCUGAGCAGCUCUUUGUCUGUUUUGGAAGUCAGCAGAAGGGAGGGCUGGGAAGCCGUGACGGCCGGUGGCAGGGCCUUCCCAACUUUUUGAAAAAGCUCUGGGACCACCUACCUCUCCACUGGAUGGUUACAAUUUCGGCUAGCGCUCACGUCUGACUCGCCCAGGCCAGUCAGCAUCUCUCCGCUAGAGAUUGUGACGCGGCUCAGUGCUGUGGCGUUUUCCAUAGGAACCCCAAUCUGUCGGUUUGACACAACGUUGAGAGACCGACAGAAAGGCUCCUCAGGCUCCUCCUUCAGGCUCCUCAGACCAAAAAGUGAAUGAAUGAGCACGCCGGCUUCCCUCUUAUACCCGGACGUCUGGGGAGGAGUCCGGCAUGCAAAUUUCAUUCGCCAAUUUUCAUUGGACUUUUCUAAAUACUCAGAAGAUGAUAGGUUCUCGAGACAAACCCCAAUCUGUCGGUUCGACACAACGUCGAGAGACCAACAGAAAGGGAACUACACAUUACCAUUAAAAUUGAUUAGAAUAAUUGGCUUGACAUUGAUUACACUGCACAAACUUUCUGAACAGGCACAGGGCCACCAAAGGGGCUAGGGCCCACUCAAAAAAAGGAAAAAGAAAAUAUCUCUUUAAUAAUUAAAAGAGGUGGUCGCCUAUAGCUAGUGACAACAAGGGGUGAUCGGGGUGACACACCCACACUAAAAGUCGUCACACAGGAACAGACACUCUGGAAACAGAACAGCAACGCCCCGGUGAGAGCAUGAAGCAGCAAGGUUAACACACAGACGUGAAGCUCACAACACCCCUAAAGCAUAAAAUAAGAUGUUACAUGGUUAUUGAAUUCUCCCUUGACCCAUGCCCAGCCAAGAUACAUACCAACUAUCAACAACGACGCCGUCCGAACCGCUACAGCGGGGUUCUACUCAACGUGCAGCAGUUUAUUUGGUAAUGUCAUCGGCGGCACACGGAUCAACUGCAUAUGAUGCACAUGUUAGCGCAGAGUUAAUUGGAACUAACCACAUCAGCUCGGUUUAAAACAAAGUGCUUACCGCAGUGUUAAUUUCGUUAACGAAAACUAUGACGAAAAGUAUUCGUUAACGACAUGUUUUCACUGACGAAAACGAGACGAUAACUAAAUAAAAAUGAAUGCAUUAUAACGAAAACUGUAAUAAAAAUAUACUGACAUUUUCGUCAACUAAUAAAAACGAGACGAAAAUAUUCUUGUCCCACCUGGCGGACAUCAGUUUGCGCGCAUGUGCUGCUUAUCUCAUAUAAACGGCAGAGAGAAGUCUCUGGGAGAAGGGGAAGCACACACAUGUAUUCUGUGUCUCCACGCGGGUUACAAAGCGUCUUAUUUUCUUCACGAUCGCCGGUAAAACGCCGCAAACUUGAAGUGCGACUGCAGGCGAGUCACCCCGAAACACAUUACGAAGGCAAGCUCAAAGGUUUUAUAUGCCAAUGUUAACUUAACACGAGCUGCUGCAUAACGUGAAAUGCAACAUAGAGUCAGCCAAAAGAAACCAGCGCUGUCCUCUACUGAUUAUAGAAGUGAUGAAGUGAGUCAAACUGUACAUUCCAACCAAAUAUGUAACAUGUUUGCAUGACUAAAGAAAUGUAAUACAAUUUAUAUAAUAUGUCUUUUUGAAAGCUAUUCUCAUUCAUUGCUGUCUCAAGCAAAGACAGUGCGCUCUUCUUCAAAUAGGCAUGCCAUGAGCCAAUAGCCUUUGAGUGUGAGCCCUGUCAGAGCGUUUCAUUGGUUGAAUGAACUGAAUGAAUACGCCCUACUUAACGAGUCAAUUGAGUCAAAUGGGAUUGAAUGAACUGGAACAUGUCGUUCAUGGUCUAAUAUUCUGUGUUCCAACAAUGCAUAUCUAGUUACUGGAAUUUUCUGAAAAAUAAAGGUAAUGACCUGGUUUAAUUUCAUUCUAAGGUGAAGUAAAUUAUGUCAAAACAGUUGAAUCUUUGUAUGGAACAUUUAAUUACACCAAGUAAAUGAUUUAAACCAUUUAGAUUUUAGUAGACUAAAUAUAAUGUAUAUUUAUUCGACUAAAAUGUUUUUCAUAUUUCGUCGACUAAAACUAGACUAAAACUAAAAUGAUGGGGUUGACUAAAAUGUGACUAAAACUAAAUUGCAUUUUCGUCAAAAGACUAUGACUAAAACUAAAUCAAAAUUUGCUGUCAAAAUUAACACUGGCUUACCGUCUACCAUGUCCACAUCCGGUUGCCCAGAUAAUAAUGCAGCAGUGAGCCAAGGGCAAUAGUCCAACCUGCUACAGCCCUUUAUGGCCAAAACACAUAUCUCUUAGCCACUAAAAACACAAGAGAUAACUAUUGAGAAGAAAAAGCGUGUCCUCACCAUGGGGUGUCAACUCUCCACUACGAAACAAGCAGCAACGGCGCUCCAGUGACGUAAGCGGCCACAGAAAAUGACGUACGCUACCCAGCUAGUGUCCGCUAUUUACAUACUCUCCGAGGCGCAGCCAAUAGGCCGAACCUAUAAUUACCACUGGGGCAUCAUUCUGCCACAGUAGUUUACUUUUGUAUAAUAAGAAAAAGGUUGACAUUUACAUAAGUACAUUUAAUGUAAUUUGAGCAAUUAUGUCUGUUGCAUAAUUGCUAAACUAUAAACUUUUAUUAUCUAAUUAAUUUAUAGUGUUUUAAUAUGUAUGUAGACAACCGAAAGGCUGAAAGUGGAAAGAGAGAGCUUUGCAAGUCUGCAGGCUGAGCUCAAUGUCAGUGAUGAUGACAUUCAGCAGUGGGUCAGUGAUGUCCAGCAGUGGGCUGCAUGUAAUACAUUUUGAAGGGCAUGUUUUAUUUUUUAUAAAAGAACAUUUUUUCCAUUAUAAACGUUUUGCACAGAAGGCAGAAUUUAUCUAAUUCACAGUGCUAAUUUAUUUGUUUGAUAUGUAGUAUCAAGUGGAAAGGAUGACGCUGGACUGGAGGGCAGAAUUGAAGGCCUUUAUGUCAGCAUAAUGCUGAGAAAAAAUAAUCUGUACAAUCAGACAGAUAGUAACAAGAGACGGCACAAAAUAAGGAGGAAAAUUAAUGAAGACAAGUGAACACUGGCAGCUGCUAUUAAGGACUACAAUGAACGGUCAGUCCACCAGCUUCCUUCUGUCGAUGAACUGCUCACAGCUGAUCAUUUCCAAUGGCCAUGGGAAUGCCCUGACAGUAGUAAUGGCAACGUCUCAACUCAGUGGUUUUUGACCGGUUCAUGUUGCUUUCCCGACUGAAGGAGGAGGAGCAGAUCUUAGUGAUGGAGGUCAAGCAACACUGGCAAUCACUGAAAGAAGCUGAAUGUUGCCUGAGGGAUCUCUCUGUUGAAAUAAAAAAUAACAACUGUGACAUUACACUAUCAGAGGAGAGCUCCAGUCGACUGCUGUGCCUUCUUAAGGGAAAACUGGAAGACCUUAAUGUUCUGCAAAAUAAUGCUAGAAUGUUAUACCAGCAAUGUGUUCUGGGACAGGCAUCAGAAAACAAUCUAUUCGAUGACAUUUACGAUGAAGAAAAUGAGGCUGUAAACUACAGCUCUGAUGAAACUCAUAAUGAUGAGGACUAAACAUGAGCGUGUUAAAAUAGACUGCUACUGAAGAACUGUUUUUAAAUGGUGUAUUAUUUCAGCGUGAGGCAAUUUUUAAGCAUGUUAACAUACAAUCUAUUUUUUUUUUUCCAAUCCUAAUGGAAAUAAAAUUAGGUUACCACAGAACAUAUAGCAGUACAAGUUUUGGCUACUAAUGUUGAAUCUUUGGAGUAUGUAUAUGAGCCAGGUGAACUCCAAGCAUUUUAAUAGUGCAGUUAUGAUAAACACCCACACAACCUCCAUCUCUUUUAAUUAUUUUCUGUUAUUUCCAUUUUCUUUAGCUCACAAGGGACCAUGCAGUAUAUAUG